rnacentral:siRNA from 1 species
AGUCUCUAUGUUCGUUUCGCCGCC